rnacentral:rRNA from 1 species
CAGUAGCCGCGGUAAUACGUAGGGUGCAAGCGUUAAUCGGAAUUACUGGGCGUAAAGCGUGCGCAGGCGGUUAUAUAAGACAGAUGUGAAAUCCCCGGGCUCAACCUGGGAACUGCAUUUGUGACUGUAUAGCUAGAGUACGGCAGAGGGGGAUGGAAUUCCGCGUGUAGCAGUGAAAUGCGUAGAUAUGCGGAGGAACACCGAUGGCGAAGGCAAUCCCCUGGGCCUGUACUGACGCUCAUGCACGAAAGCGUGGGGAGCAAACAGGAUUAGAUACCCGGGUAGUCCCUGUCUCUUAUAU